UACGAGUGCCUCAAGCGUUAUCCGGAAUCAUUGGGCGUAAAGGUUGUGUAGGUGGUUGUAUUAGUCUUCUGUUAAAUUCUUCGGCUUAACCGGGGGCAUGCAGAGGAAACGGUACAACUAGAGGAUGCGAGGGGUCUGCGGAACUCAUAGUGUAGCGGUGAAAUGCGUUGAUAUUAUGGGGAACACCAAAAGCGAAGGCAGCAGACUGGAGCACUCCUGACACUGAAACAAGAAAGCGUGGGUCGCGAAUGGG
rnacentral:rRNA from 1 species